AUCGGAGUACAUGCCUAAUCCGGAUGACGCGGUACAUAGCUGGGACGCCCGGCCUGACUUCGCCUGGCAGCUCCACGCGCGGCCGCGUGAUGACUUGACUCGGGGCUCGUGGGACAAGGAUCCAUCGAGAGAGCCAAGACGUUUCGACCCAGGAGAGCCACCACCAUGCCAAAAAAGCUCUGUACUGUAGCUUCUUACACGGAGACCCACCGGAGACAACGUGUCCUCUCCCACCAGACGAUGCAUAAUGAUGACAUUGUCUCAAUAAAGGCGGAGCGCCAAGUCUUACCGGAAAAGAAAUGAAAGAUGAGAGAUAGUGUCUUCGAUCGAGAGAGAGAGAGUGUGUGUCUUCGUUCGGCUUGUCCUCGGCCAUGCAUGCAGGUCUCAGAAGCAGGUGCGUACAUGCUUGUUGCCAUUGCCUUUACCUUGCUCACCAGCUUUUUUCUCGUUCUCGAUGUGAGAAACACAUCCGACAAAUUUGGUCUGUUUUUUUCAUCUCAUUAAUUGGAGGGAGAUCGAUCUUGUGAUAUGUGAGCGUCUGCGCAUCGCUGCCACCCUCGAUUUCACAUGAACUAUAGCUAGCGUAUACCGUUGCUUGCUUGACGAUCCCUCCCAAGCAAGCUGCAGUACGCGAGAAACAGCGGAGGUUCGACGCGGCGGGCCAAUGGCGCAAAGACCCGUCAUCGUCUGUGCACCGGUCAAAGACCCGUCAUUGUGUGUGCACCGGUAGGUGGUUCGUAAGGGCAUCUCCAGGUAGUAGUUCUCCGUGGAGGAAAGAGAGAGCUAAAAAAAAUAGAGAAGGCAUGGGCUGAAAACCGUGUCCGCCCAGAACAGUGCCGACGUGGGGAACCCAGUAGCUAGGCUGGGAUUCCUAUAUAAAAUUGCAGAGCUAGCCAGCACCGAGUAACGACAAGAAAAGGCAAAUAAGUUGGGGGCCGGCCAAAUGGCAAUCGAAGACGCGCGCCUCCAUCCUGUUCGUCCCCGGCCGGGCGCGCGGUGCGGAGAUUCGUGGGCUCCUCUCUCUUCCUCCAGGCGUCGCUGGCUCACUGGUCUGGUAAAAGAGAGAGGGCGUGUGGACGGAGGCCGGGCGAUGGGCUCGGAGAGCAAUGGCGUGCUCCGUGCUGCAUGGGGGUAUCUAAGCUUGCAUAUGUGGGUGCGCGCGCCGUCGCCGGUGGUCUUUAAUUGGCGGACCAAGCGGCACAGGUUGGUGCGAUGACCGCGCUCUGGCAUCAGAAUGAUGCCGACGUCGGCAUCGGGCUCCCGCGGCCCGCGCCGGCCACGCGCUCUAGCUCGCGCGAGCACGCACCGCUAACACACGGACGUUCGCAUUGUGUUGUGAGCGCGUGCCCGGCCAUUCGCCGGCGGUACUUGCUGCCGGCAGCCGCAUGCAGGAAUACUACUGGCCAAGGGUUCGUGACGAUCCAGGCGUCAUGGGCUCAGAGGUAGGAUUUUCUCAAUCUGCCGAGUUUGUUUGACUACGAACUUAACUAAUCCUAAAUUCUUGACUCAAAUUUGCUCAAAUAUGAAUGUAUCUAUUCUUAAAAAUUCUUAAAAAACGUCUAGAUACAUGUAAUAUUUCGACAACAAUUUAGGAUCAGAAGGAGUAGUUCACUUGAUGCCUGGGUUCUGGCUUUCCUUUUUAUCUUUUACUUGUGCCAUAUUCUGACUUCCACGGUGCCCCCAAAAUACAGUCGGAAGAAUGCUAUCUGAAUGCAUUUCAAACCGGGCUGCUAUCUGAAUGUAAUAAGAAAAGAAGAUACCUGACGAACUAAACUGGGUUCAAGCUUUAUGUUUUACUUAUAUGCUACAAUCUGACUUCCAUGAUGUAGCAGCAGUAAUAGGCUUGUGAAACACCCCCAAAAUACGGUCUGAAGAAUGCUAUCUGAAUGUAGUAAAAGAAGAGGAUACCGGACGAACUGAACUUUGUUACCCCUUUCACAUGGAUCCUGUUAGCCACUGGUAUAUGCUUUUAUGAAUGACUAAAUAAGCUGCGAUACAUGGUGUCUUGAUUUGACAACCUAUAUAUCCCUGCGUACUUAACUAGUUAUUAUAGUCUGGGUUCAAGUUUAGGUUGACUUGAGCUAUAAUCUGACUUCCAUGAUGUAGCAGUAGCAAAGGGCUUGUAAAACACCAUCAGAAUACAGUCUGAACAAUGCUGUGUGAUUUAAGGAAAGAAGAUACCUGACAAA